rnacentral:rRNA from 1 species
AGCAGCCGCGGUAAUUCCAGCUCCAAUAGCGUAUAUUAAAGUUGUUGCAGUUAAAAAGCUCGUAGUUGAAUUUCGGGAUCAAUUUGCUGGUCGUGCCUCUGGUACGUACUGGUAUUAUUGGUUUCUCCCUUCUGACGAACCAUGAUGUCAUUAAUUUGAUGUCGUGGAGAAUCAGGACUGUUACUUUGAAAAAAUUAGAGUGUUUAAAGCAGGCAUUAGCUUGAAUACAUUAGCAUGGAAUAAUGAAAUAGGACGUUUGAUCCUAUUUUGUUGGUUUCUAGGAUUGACGUAAUGAUUAAUAGGGAUAGUUGGGGGCAUUAGUAUUCAAUUGUCAGAGGUGAAAUUCUUGGAUUUAUUGAAGACUAACUACUGCGAAAGCAUUUGCCAAGGAUGUUUUCAUUAAUCAAGAACGAAAGUUAGGGGAUCGAAGACGAUCAGAUACCGUCGUAGUCUUAACCAUAAACUAUGCCGACUAGGGAUCGGAUGAUGUUAAUUUUUUAAUGACUCAUUCGGCGCCUUACG